UUCAUUUUUCGAGCCAAACACUUUCUCUUUCUUUCUUCGAGAGUUCGAUUCUUACCAUCAUUCCCCUUCGUUCACCAGCAUUUCACUAGCAGAGCCCUCUCCAUCAGCUAGCGUGACCGUCAGUCACCGUGUUGGUGAUUGGCUGUGUCGAAAUCAUGUGCCCGUGAUUGGGUGUGUCACAAUCGUCAUCGGAGUUCGUCCAUCGCAAAGGUUGGUUCAGCGCUUGGUUUCGCAGUUAAACGAUGAGUUUCACCGAUUGUCAUCGAGGAUGGGCUUCCACUUGCUGUGAUGUGUUUGUUCUUCUUACAGAGUUGUUGUUCGAGGGUUGUUCUUGGAGGGGUCUUGCUGGAGUGUGGUGUGGUUUGUGCAUGUGAGCGAGCUUGUCUAAAUCAUCUUGGUGGAGGUUUUGGGUUGUCUUUCUUCCCUUGCCGUUGAGGAAUAUUAUUUAGACUGUCAGCCAAUUUUCGCAAAGCGAAAGCCAAAAUUCGCACUGCCAGAAGAAGGAAAUUCGCAUAGUGCACCAGUACAUUUGAUUUGCACUGAGCGAAUUAAUGAAGUUAAGUGGCUUUAAAAGACGUGACAGAAAGACAGAAACAUUCUUCUAACAGAAGUUCCGGACAAAAAAAGAAACGAAAACAUCUCAGGAACUUCCAGAGACUACUUCAAGGCAUCAAGACACCAUUUUUGCAAGGGAUUGCUUCAAAUGUGUACGUUUAGAUGACUAGGAGUAGUUUUUCUUUCGUUGGAAUUGGAUGUAAUGAAUUUACUCUGGUGUAAUUUUCUUGUUUAAUAUAUCGUUGUUCGUUCA